rnacentral:rRNA from 1 species
UACGUAGGGUGCAAGCGUUGUCCGGAAUUAUUGGGCGUAAAGAGCUCGUAGGCGGUUUGUCGCGUCUGCCGUGAAAGUCCGGGGCUCAACUCCGGAUCUGCGGUGGGUACGGGCAGACUAGAGUGAUGUAGGGGAGACUGGAAUUCCUGGUGUAGCGGUGAAAUGCGCAGAUAUCAGGAGGAACACCGAUGGCGAAGGCAGGUCUCUGGGCAUUAACUGACGCUGAGGAGCGAAAACAUGGGGAGCGAACAGG